GGGAGAGUGGUCGAGUGGUUAAAAGAAAUAGACUGCAAAUCUCUUUCAGGUUUUCUAUGUAGGUUUGAACCCCACCUCUCCCA
rnacentral:tRNA from 1 species